GCGCGGGAAGAGUGGGGCGCGCGUCCCCUCAGCGCGCUGUGAGGGGGAUCCCCUCAGCCUGCGCCGUAAGAAAAGCACCACCAACUUCGCUUUCAGAUAACGUUUAACCUAAACAAUUUCCAAGCAUUCUGUAUUACAAAACAGAAAAUGGUUACAGUUAAUGAAAGAAGUCAAAAUGCUGGCAUCACGUUGUUUCCACAUCGAUACAUAAAAAUGGACAACACAUUAAAUAAACAUUUUUGUUAUUAACAGUUAGAAAUAUUAACACCAAAAUCAUGUAUAAAUUAGGAAAUAAAUGUACAAACUAUUUCCAAAGUGCUCUUUCAAAUACAUUAUAUACACAACAUUCAAGAAGUUCUUAAUGUAAGACAUUUCAGGUUGGUGGGAUGUUGCUGCUUCGUUCCAAGUGUUGUUCGUAUUCUCUCCAAAGUAUUUCAGCACUUUCAAAAGCCGUGGAAAAGGCUGGCCAAGAGCAAUAUUGCAUUCUGGCUACCUGUGAUAUUAAUAUAGCGCGAAGAAAACAAACCUACUUCCUUUCCAUUCCUUGAUAUUUGAGAGUACUUAUUUGUAUGAAAACACCAGCAGGAAAGAUGAAUGAAAUGAGGACGGGCUGAAAACGCCUUCUGUUUUAUCAGUAAUGAAAGCAUUAAUGUUGCAAGGGCAGUGCUUUGACAAUAUCCCAUUGCAAACUGUCCACUUAAAGACUUUUCUCUACAGGAAUAGACGUACUGAAGUGAGAGAUCUUUUGUUUUACUGUGGUCUUGGUUUUUCAAAACACAAAGUGCUAGAACUCAAAAUCCUAGACCAAGGAUGCCUCCAACUGACCAGUGAACAGUUCAAAUCUAGUUUGAUGACAGUGAAGAGCGCUGCUCCGGCAAUGAGAAAGGUUCCAAAGCCCUCUGACAGCAUUAGCUUAUUACUAAGCAGACUGGAGGCCUCGCAGAACCCAACAUCAUUACAGACUGUAGCCAUUUUGUGAUGAUUUCAACAUGUCCCAGAAAUCCCCAUCUGCCUGAAAGCUCUCGAUGAACUGGAGAAGUUCAUAAGGAAGAACAGGAGGGCAUCCAAAAGCAAACUACAGUUGUACCACUGUGCAAAGUGAAGAGUCAAACCUGGAGAGUUUGAGAAGAAGGCAAGAGAAAAUAUUUUUCAAAUUGCCUUCUUUGCUGAAAUGUUAGGUGACCUUUAUUGCUAGAAAUCUUCAAUAGCUUAAUUUCCAAGCAGAAAAUUCCAGAAUUAAUAAAUAAUCUGUUAAAAAUGUUCUAAAUAUUAAAUUCUCAAAUAUUUUAGGGAAAAAGAAACCAAAAACCAAACCAUCCUCUAUCCCAAGAACAAUACAUAGUUUGUAAUACAAGCAAAUCUAACAAAUAAGUCCAAGCAUUCUCUCACUGAUCAGUGGACAGCACUGUUCAUGGUACAGCCCUUGAGAAAAAGUACUCCAAAAACAUAGCCCGAAACUCAUCAUACUCACUGAGUACAUUCUGCAGUUUUCCCCUUGCUCUGAUAAUCCAUAAUACAUUGUAUUAGGUGGUGAUUUUCAUCUAACAUCUGCAUAAAAGAAACAUGAUCAGAACAUGUGAGAAUCAUAUUAAAGACCUGGGUUUCUGCGAUACUCCACAUUUGCUCUCUGUAGCCACGGAUGGCGUUCUGGGCACUUUGCUUUGGGAUAUGACCAAGUACCUACACACGACAGCACAGUCCUUGACCCAUUGAGAUGCAGAGGGCCCCCGAGUUCUGAUCUCGACCACCCACAAGAAAAUGCAGUUCACUGUCCUCAAAUCGCUGUUUGGUGAACAUUUUAAAGCAGCGCCAUCACUGCUGUGUGGCCAAAAGCUCUGAAUUCCAACACACCGGUUAUCUUCUGGUGGUCUGUGCUACUAGAGUAACUAAAGCUUUGAAAGCCUAUUGAGUUAAUAAAUAAAAACAAGCUGCUUUUAUAUUACAAAUACGAAUAACAACACUCUUGUGUUUCAAUGCCAUUAGAAUAUUCUAAAAAUCUUGCUUUAGCGGGAAUUUGUAACGAGCCCAGCAUGUGCCCUCUCUGACUGCUCCAUUUCUUACACGGAACUGGAACGUCCAUUCAGUCACUGUGCCUGCAAGUCCCCUGCUCAGCACCAUGCUUUGCAGACAGCAAAUCACUGCCAGCAGCCCAUCAACACUGACAAAUAGUCCUGAAGUCACACAGCAACAAACGCACCUGGGAUAGGGAAUGCUUUUACACAUUGCUGGUAAAGAAAUAACAUUUCAAAGCUUCCAUAAAAUUCAUAAAUAUGAAAAAAAAGGAAAGUGUUUGAAAAUUGAAAUGAAGAUAUUUGGCUGUCCUCUGCUUAUGGAUACAGCUGUGUUUUUAAAUACAAAUUUCUGAAUUAGAAAUUCUGUCCUACUCCCAGCCAACCUGGAGGUUACAGAAAAAAAAAAAAAAAAAAAAAAAGCCACUGGAAUAUUUCACUGCUUAAAAUUAAUUGCUCACAGCAGUGUGUGUGCUGCAAGAGCAUGGGCUUCAUUUCCAAAUAGUGCCCCGAAAUUUCAGUCACACUCAGGCUCAUAGGCAGUUCGUUCUGCCCAAUCUCUCUUCUGUAACAUCCUUCCAUGGAGAAUUUUUCCCUAGAAGUCAUAAAUUGGCACCAGAAAAUGGUUUGGCUGCAAAACCUACCGACGAUCCGUUCGUUGCUGGGUUAGCAACAACGCUGCCUCACUGACCAUCAUCUGACCACGUAAACACCUACAGCUCCCUGCCACUGCGCUGCACGAACUGCAGGAACAAAAUGCCUUCGUGGUGGGGAACGCGCUCACAUCAGCACAAGUACAAAUGACAAAUAGCGGUCAAGGUGAAACAUGCAUGUUCUUUAUUGAGUCUCCAGCCUCUUCGUUACACAGUUACCUUUUGUGGGAGGGACGGAGGGUCGGCAGGUGCACGCACUGCACUCCCUGCUGCCAGCCCUCCGGGAUGGGAAACAAUAACUUCCCAACUGGGAGCCCUUCUGUACCAGACCCGUGUGGAGAGCUCAAUUGCAGAGAAAAUCUUCGAGACCUUUGUCAUUACACACCAAUAAACACAUCGCAAAUAACAGGAACAGCAGACAAAAAAUACCACUGAUUGCUGCUCCAUUUGGCUUCUAAGAUUCCGCAUCCAAACGCAAAACCCUUGCCAAUGCAAUAUUUUAUUUUAUUUUUUUGCUGAUAUGCCGUCAGAAAUUAAACACGUAUUUGCAAACGCUAUUGCAAUUUUCCACUGCAUUAUUGUCAGUCUUUUUCCCACCAGCAGCAGCCAACGUGCCGGCGGAUUUCAUUCCGUACCCCUUCUCUGGCUCUCUCUGCAGCGAUCUGCACACCUUUGCUUUGUUCCACCUCCUCCUCCUCCUCCUUCCCCCACCUCUCUCCAGCUGUCCAUCUCUGCAGCCCUGGCCAUGCACGAGUUUCCCUGCUCGCCCGCAAUCUGCCUCCUUCCACGGCUGCGGGAGCACGGACGGAAUCACGUCCACCCCAUCGGUACAAAGCAUGCUGUUUUUACCUUCUGGAUAGUUU